rnacentral:rRNA from 1 species
GACGAACGCUGGCGGCGUGCUUAACACAUGCAAGUCGAACGGAAAGGCUCCAGCUUGCUGGAGUGCUCGAGUGGCGAACGGGUGAGUAACACGUGGGCAAUCUGCCCUGCACUCUGGGAUAAGCCUGGGAAACUGGGUCUAAUACCGGAUAGGACCUUUCUCCUCAUGGGGUUUGGUGGAAAGUUUUUCGGUGCAGGAUGAGCCCGCGGCCUAUCAGCUUGUUGGUGGGGUAAUGGCCUACCAAGGCGACGACGGGUAGCCGGCCUGAGAGGGUGAUCGGCCACAUUGGGACUGAGAUACGGCCCAGACUCCUACGGGAGGCAGCAGUGGGGAAUAUUGCACAAUGGGCGCAAGCCUGAUGCAGCGACGCCGCGUGAGGGAUGACGGCCUUCGGGUUGUAAACCUCUUUCAGUAGGGACGAAGCGCAAGUGACGGUACCUGCAGAAGAAGCACCGGCUAACUACGUG